rnacentral:rRNA from 1 species
AUUGAACGCUGGCGGCAGGCCUAACACAUGCAAGUCGAGCGAGUGGCGGACGGGUGAGUAAUGUCUGGGGAACUGCCCGAUGGAGGGGGAUAACUACUGGAAACGGUGGCUAAUACCGCAUACUAUCGGAUGUGCCCAUAUGGGAUUAGCUAGUAGGUGGGGUAAAGGCUCACCUAGGCGACGAUCCCUAGCUGGUCUGAGAGGAUGACGAGCGACACUGGAACUGAGACACGGUCCAGACUCCUACGGGAGGCAGCAGUGGGGAAUAUUGCACAAUGGGCGCAAGCCUGAUGCAGCCAUGCCGCGUGUAUGAAGAAGGCCUUCGGGUUGUAAGGUACUUUCAGCGAGGAGGCGUUACUCGCAGAAGAAGCAUCGGCGAACUCCGUGCCAGCAGCCGCGGUAAUUC